rnacentral:rRNA from 1 species
GAUGAACGCUAGCUACAGGCUUAACACAUGCAAGUCGAGGGACCGGCGCACGGGUGAGGAACGCGUAUCCAACCUGCCCAUGAGUAGGGUAUAACCAGCAGAAAUGCGGACCAAUCCCACAUGAUGAUGGAUGGGGUGGCGUCCGAUUAGCUUUUUGAGGAGGUAACGGCUCACCAAGGCUUCGAUCGGUAGGGGUUCGGGGAGGCGGGCCCCCCACCAAUGAACUGAGACAAGGGCCUAACGACUACGGGAGGGAGGAGUGUGGAAUAUUGUGCAAUGGGCGAUAGCCUGAACCAGCCAAGUAGCGUGCAGGAUGACGGCCUUUGGGUUGUAAACUGGUUUUAUGCGGGGAGAGGUACCGCAUGAAUAAGGACCGGCUAACUCCGUGCCAGCAGCCGCGGUAAUUC